rnacentral:ncRNA from 1 species
AGGAGUCUAACAUAUGUGCAAGUUAUUGGGAGAUAAAACUAAUAGCGUAAUUAACUUGACUAAUAAUGGUAUUAGUUUUUUUACUAUUUAUAGAUAAUUUACACAAUCCUGGGGCGUUCUAUAUAGUUAUGUAUAAUAAUAUUUAUAGUAUUUAUGCCUCUAACUGGAACGUACCUUGACCCGAAAGAUGGUGAACUAUACUUGUUCAGGUUGAAGUCAGGGGAAACCCUGAUGGAAGACCGAAACAGUUCUGACGUGCAAAUCGAUUGUCAGAAUUGAGUAUAGGGGCGAAAGACCAAUCGAACCAUCUAGUAGCUGGUUCCUUUCGAAGUUUCCCUCAGGAUAGCUGGUGCAUUUUAAUGUUAUAUAAAAUAAUCUUAUCUGGUAAAGCGAAUGAUUAGAGGCCUUAGGGUCGAAACGAUCUUAACCUAUUCUCAAACUUUAAAUGGGUAAGAACCUUAACUUUCUCGAUAUGAAGUUUAAGGUUAUGAUAUAAUGUGCCCAGUGGGCCACUUUUGGUAAGCAGAACUGGCGCUGUGGGAUGAACCAAACGUAAUGUUACGGUGCCCAAAUUAACAACUCAUGGAAAAACCAUGAAAGGCGUUGGUUGCUUAAAACAGCAGGACGGUGAUAAUGGAAGUCGAAAUCCGCUAAGGAGUGUGUAACAGAGCACCUGCCGAAGCAACUAGCCCUUAAAAUGGAUGGCGCUUAAGUUGUAUACCUAUUCAUUACCGCUAAAGUAGAUGAUUUAUAUUACUCGUGAUAUAAAUUUUAAAACUUUAGUGAGUAGGAAGGUACAAUGGUAUUUAUUU